rnacentral:lncRNA from 1 species
CCAAAUCGAUUCGCUGGUUAAAUAGACAGUUGAAUCUGCAAUCAACAAUUCUGAUACCAAUAUUUUACUCACUGGGUUUUAGUUUGCUCUGCUCCCCAACAAAUCUGUGUGAGUUCCACAGAAAUUUAUCACCAAAGCUAGUAAAGGAAAAAGAAUCAUAUACCACAGAAUAGAAAUAACUGAACAAUACCUUUUAUUACCAAAGGCAGCCAAAUUGAAAAAAAACAGUAUCUUUCUUUCUUUCAUCACACAAUCCCCAAAGAAGUACCCUUUAAGCUUAAUUGAUUAUGAUCUUCU